rnacentral:rRNA from 1 species
UACGUAGGGUGCGAGCGUUAAUCGGAAUUACUGGGCGUAAAGCGUGCGCAGGCGGUUCGUUGUGUCGGCGGUGAAAUCCCCGGGCUCAACCCGGGAAUGGCCGUUGAAACUGGCGAACUGGAGUGUGGCAGAGGGGGGUGGAAUUCCGCGUGUAGCAGUGAAAUGCGUAGAGAUGCGGAGGAACACCGAUGGCGAAGGCAGCCCCCUGGGCUGACACUGACGCUCAUGCACGAAAGCGUGGGGAGCAAACAGG